AAUACAAAACAUCCGGACAGCUCGUCAUCAUUUUGUAUCAAAAUGUUUUUGAUCUGCUGGAGGUUACAAAGUUACUCCAGCUGGUGGAAAGACACUUUUGAAGACCAAGGACGACUUUUGUUGCUGCCAUUAACUCGUUCGCUGCCAUUGAUGUUUUUAGAAGUCAACCGGGGGGUUGGGGGGGGGGGGCUGCCACUGAGGGAAUGAGUUGAAUCUCUAUUUCGAUGGACGAACUUUUGAAGCGCCAGGGAAAUGAGGACUUCAUCUCCAAGGAAAGCUUUUUAAUCAUCGAGAGGAAGAGGAAAAAUGUGAGCCACAUGAUUCAGCAAAUAUGACAUCAUCAAGCUGACCACACGUCGACCUCUGAUUGUUUUUUUUUUUCCUUCUGACUAACGAACAAAAAGAAGAAGACCCCACCAAUGGUGGUUGUGAGACUUGCUGUGCAUCCGGUCGAAGUCAGCAGCGAUCUCCAACGCUGUUUUAUUGCUCAUCUCGGGCACAUUGAAGUACACAAACAGCGCAGAGACCAAGCACACCAACAGGAAUACGACAAAGCAGAAGGAAUCGAGGUGCUCCUGGAAUGGAAGCAUUCGCAUUCUGGAGGUUUUCCUUGGAGCGUGAAGAUGAUUUUGCUACAGACAGCAGGGUUCCAUCAGAAAGUCUGGAUACUUUUCAUUGGUCUUUUUCACAACUUCAGGGACCCUAAAAGGCUACCAUGGCACACCUCAGUGAACCAUCUCAUGCUGCAAGGAAUUCUUCUGUUUCAUUGGCUGCUCUGGGCAUUAAAGGAGAGGAAGUCAUGCUGUGGCCCCAAUCUCCCCCUGACCACAACCCUGUUGAGAACCUUUCGCACAUCCUCAAGUAAAUAGUUUUAAAGUGUGGCCAAACAUGUGACGCGACAAGGAAAAAUAAAUAACGGCUGGAGAGCAAGUAGUUUUCCUGGUAUUCAGAAGACAAAUGUGGUCACGUCUCACCUGAGCCCCAAAAGCUGACCACUGAACUUCCCUAUGCCGAUGAAGGUGCCGAUGGUCACGCCCACCAUCGCUUGCAGCAUCUUUGGGGUGCAUUCAGUGAGGUACAAGCUGUGAGCAGACAGACUGAUUCCUGCAUAUACACACACACACACACACAAAAAAAACUAUUCGGUGGUGACCAAAGAUUCAGUUAUACUGAUACCAAAAGAGAAAUGAAGCAGAUUUAGCAGGGGAUUAAAAAACAACAUCAGUUAGGCUCGACUCCAGUUCACUUGCAACAUUAGUGGUGGCAAGUUGAGCCCACAAGUUGUCUCAAAAAGAUUAUUUGGAGUGACGCUAACCACUGUUUGUUUUAAGUCACUCCCAAAUAUACUCAGAACAUAGUAGAAUGGUAGAAUAUAAAAAGUAUUCAAUAUUAAUUCUGUGUGAUCAGUGUUGAGCCCAAGCACCAACUCUGAUUGUAAUGUGGGAAGUUAUCUUUUCUGUGCCGUGUUGGUUGUCUUGAGUAUACCAGACACUAUAUUUUAAGAGCAGUAAAAACAUUGUUGCCAGUUU